AUUUAUCUACCCAAAUCAGUUAAAAAUCAGCAUCUCUCUCUCUUUCUUUCUUUCUUUCUCUCUCUCUUUCUCUCUCUUUCUCUCUCUUUCUCUCUUUCUUUCCUUCCUUCUUUCUUUCUUUCUUUCUUUCUUUCUUUCUUUCUUUCUUUCUUUCUUUCUUUCUUUCUUUCUUUCUUUCUUUCCUUCCUUCUCUCUUUCUCUUUCUUUCUUCUU
rnacentral:lncRNA from 1 species